CCCCUCACGUGGAAGUGGAAGUGCUCAGAAAACAUAUAAUAAAAAAAGGCAGUGGUAGUUUCUUGUAAUUUUUCCUAAAAGGAGCGCUGAAAUUUCAGUCCUUCUUCAUCGCUUCCAAAUUUCUAGAGUCCUCUCCAAAUUCUCUCUCACUCUUCAACUCCAAAUUUCAGAUUCGAUUUCAUCUCAUUCCGAUUCGACGCACUUUCAAAACUACGCCAAGUCAGCGGCAUGGAAAUGGACUCAUCAUCUUUCCCAAGUUCUUCUUCUUCUUCUUCGUCUACUGGACGAUGGAAUUAUGAUGUUUUCCUCAGUUUCAGAGGCGAGGACACUCGCUACAAGUUUAUGGGCCAUCUAUAUGAAGCUUUGAUACAGAAAGGCAUUGUCACCUUUAAGGACGAUGAAAAACUUGAGAGAGAAAAACCCAUUUCAACAGAGCUGUUGAAAGCGAUAAAAGAAUCGAGAUUUGCUGUAGUCAUUCAUCAAUUGUUCUUCUUGAAAAUAUGGAAAUUAAAGCUAUAUAUCGAUGGAUGCAAUAAUGGGAUAUCUUCAUUCAUGCCAACAAGUCAUGUUCCUGGGGGCCUAUUAUUAUUGCCUUCCUUAUAAAUGGGUUUAGCCUUGAAUGUACGGGUGAUAACAUACAAGUGCCUUAUUGUGGGAGUGAUGAAAAGUUUAUGGGAAUUGCGUUGUGCUUUUUUUUUUUUUACAAAAGAGUUGUGUAAUUACUCUAAGCUUACAUGUUUGUUUAAAGUCAAUGGAUUUGCAAGGACAUCUACAGUACGCUCUUCUUUUAUGACAAAAUUUAUGGUAAAUUUAAAUUACCUCACCUUUGGCUGCUCUAUGUGUCCUCUAUCUAUUUUAAGUGGAACGGAUUGGGAAAUAAACUUAGUCAAAUUGAUGUGACUGGAUCCAGUAAACUUGAUAUUGAAAUAAGUAUCAAUAACUUGGUGGUGGUGAAAAAUGGGAUUCAUGUGGUAUACAAGCAGCAUGCCCGGUGAGGAUCUGGGUGCAAUUGAUCAUGAUAUUGAUGAUACAGCCUCCAAAGGUACCUGAAAUAAGUGAUUCCAUGAUGACGAUGAUGGGUGGGGCCUAGUGAUGAAGACUACUCUUAUGACGAACCACCUCCAAUAUGAGAGAAAUUUUUGACCUCUUUGCCUGUUGGAAUAAUUUAAUUUUUUCUUGCUGUCUUGUUGGGGCACUUUUAUAUGGCGGCGGUAAGAGUGAUUGUUAGCAGAGCCAUGUUGAAGAAUUAGACAAGUAGGGUUCCUUCUCUCGCAUCCACCUGGGCUCUUUCUAAAGUGGUCAAGCUCAAGGACUCAAAAUGUGCAGCAGCAACAACAGCAUGCUCUAUGAGGAUCUGGGUGUAAUCCAUCAUGAUAUUGACAAUUUAGCUGCAGAAGGUAGCAGAAAUAAGCGAAGUCAUUAUGAGGAUGAUGGGGCUGGACCUAGUGGAGAAGACUACUUUAAUGAGAGACCAGAUCCAAAGACUUGGAGUAUGUAUGGCUGAUUCUUUAGGGAGUUAGUUGACUUCUUUGCCUCCUAUGGUGGCAGUAAGAGGGAUAGUUACCAGAGGUCGUUGAAGAAUUAGCCAAGGAGGGUCUCUCCUCUCACACCCACCUGGGCCCUCGUUAAAGUGGUCAAGAAAUAGCCUUGGAGGGUUCCUUUUUGCUGUAUGUGUGUGGCUUUUUUCAAUUGGUUUUAUAGAGUUUAAGCACUGGCAUCAGUUUAUAGAAAUUAAAGAUUCUCUUGUCCCGUGCUAUUUUGUAAUCUCCUAUUUUCUUAGUGAAAUUUUCUGUUAGACAUUGUCCGUGGAUGUAGGCCCAAGGCAGAAGUGUUUCAUGUGUGAUGUCUUUUUCUAUUUCUCCUAUUUCUAUUUUGCAUAACCUACUAUUAUUUUGUUACACAGAAUAUAAGCAUUUCAAGCUUCCACCAA